UACGUAGGCAGCGAGCGUUGUUCGGAAUUACUGGGCGUAAAGAGUAUGUAGGCGGCCUUGUAAGUCAGUUGUGAAAGCCCCGGGCUCAACCCGGGAAGUGCAAUUGAUACUGCUUGGCUUGAAUGUGGAAGAGGGCAGUAGAAUUCCUGGUGUAGUGGUGAAAUACGUAGAUAUCAGGAGGAAUACCGGUGGCGAAGGCGGCUGCCUGGUCCUACAUUGACGCUGAGAUACGAAAGCGUGGGGAGCAAACAGG
rnacentral:rRNA from 1 species